rnacentral:rRNA from 1 species
AUUGAACGCUGGCGGCAGGCCUUACACAUGCAAGUCGAACGGCAGCGCGGGCUUCGUCCUUGCGGUGCUUGGCGAACGGGUGAGUAAUGCAUCUGAACGUGCCCAGUAGCGGGGGAUAGCGCGGCCAACGCGGGACUGAUACCGCAAACGACUUGCGGGUGAAAGCGGGGGACGGGAAGCCUUCGGCCUCUUGGCACCGGCGAUGCCGGAUUAGCUAGUUGGUGGGGUAACGGCUUACCCAGGCGACGAUCCGUAGCUGGUCUGAGAGGACGACCAGCCACACUGGGACUGAGACACGGCCCAGACUCCUACGGGAGGCAGCAGUGGGGAAUUUUGGACAAUGGGCGCAAGCCUGAUGCAGCCAUGCCGCGUGUGGGAAGAAGGCCUUCGGGUUGUAAAGCGCUUUUGUUCGGGAAGAAAUCCUCUGGGCUAAUACCCCGGGGGAAUGACGUUACCGGAAGAAUAAGCACCGGCUAACUACGUG